rnacentral:rRNA from 1 species
AGUGGCGAACGGGUGAGUAAUACAUAAGCAACCUACCCACGAAGACUGGGAUAAUCUCUGGAAACGGGGACUAAUACCGGAUAGGUAAUCGGAAGGCAUCUUCUGGUUAUUAAAGGUUAAAAACACUGGUGGAUGGGCUUAUGGCGCAUUAGUUAGUUGGUGAGGUAACGGCCCACCAAGACGAUGAUGCGUAGCCGGCCUGAGAGGGUGAACGGCCACAUUGGGACUGAGACACAGCCCAG